rnacentral:lncRNA from 1 species
AAAUUACUGCAUUUUUUUUAUUAGUUUCAAUUCACAUUUGAAUUAAUGUUGUCAGUAACUACCCCAAAGUCCCUUCUAAAUGUAGUCUUGUUUCCAUUGUUAAAGAUCAUACGUUUUUUUUCUCAUGUCACAGUAAGAUUUCUUUAUCAAUGGUUCAACACGGCAAAGUGCAAGGUUUUGCACUUGGGCCGGAAGAACCCCAGGCACCUGUACAGGCUGGGAGGAGUUGUCCUUGAGAGCAGCUCGGCAGAAAAAGACCUAGGGGUCCUGAUAGAUGAGAAACUUAACAUGAGCCAGCAGUGCGCUCUGGCAGCCCGGAAAGCAAAUGGGAUCCUGGGCUCCAUCAGGAGAGGGGUGGUCAGCAGGGAUAGGGAGGUGAUCGUCCCUCUCUACUCUGCUCUUGUGAGGCCCCAUCUGGAGUACUGUGUCCAGGUGUGGAGCCCUCAGUACAAAAAAGAUAUGGAGAUUUUGGAAAGGGUCCAGAGGAGGGCCACAAAGAUGAUCAGGGGGCUGGAGCACCUCCCCUAUGAGGACAGGCUGAGGGAGUUUGGUUUGUUCAGCCUGGAGAAGAGAAGGUUGCGGGGUGACCUCAUUGCAGCCUUUCAAUACCUGAAGGGAACUUACUCCCGGGAGGGGAGUAAACUCUUCGAAAGGGCUGAUAAUAGCAGGACUAGGGGAAAUGGUUUUAAGUUGAAGGAGGGAAGAUUUAGGUUGGAUGUUAGGGGAAAGUUCUUUACUAGAAGAGUGGUUAGGUCCUGGAACAGGCUGCCCAGUGAGGUUGUGGAUGCCCCGUCCUUGGAGGUGUUCAAGACCAGGUUGGACGGGGCCCUGGGCAACCUGAUCUAGUAAAGGCGUAUGUUUGGUGGCCCUGCCAGGCAGGGGGGUUGGAACUACAUGAUCCUUGAGGUCCCUUCCAACCCGGGUAAUUCUGUGAUUCUGAGAUUCUGUGAUUCUGUGUCUUGGUAUUUGCUGGCUAUAGUACUACCAAGUCUUACUGUAC